ensembl:snRNA U6 U6 spliceosomal RNA
AAAGGAGGUACACUUUACCAGGUAAGAUGUACCUUUCAAGGAAAAUUAGCAUGGCCCCUGUGCAAGAAAGACACGCAAAUUCGUGAAGCAUUCCAUGUUUGU